GAUGAACGCUAGCGGCAGGCUUAACACAUGCAAGUCGAGGGGUUUAGGUUUUCGGACCUAGAGACCGGCGCACGGGUGCGUAACGCGUAUGCAAUCUACCUUUCACAGAGGGAUAGCCCAGAGAAAUUUGGAUUAAUACCUCAUAGUAUAGCAGUUUCGCAUGAAACCACUAUUAAAGUUCCAACGGUGAAAGAUGAGCAUGCGUCCCAUUAGCUAGAUGGUAAGGUAACGGCUUUCCAUGGCUACGAUGGGUAGGGGUCCUGAGAGGGAGAUCCCCCACACUGGUACUGAGACACGGACCAGACUCCUACGGGAGGCAGCAGUGAGGAAUAUUGGUCAAUGGACGCAAGUCUGAACCAGCCAUGCCGCGUGCAGGAUGACGGUCCUAUGGAUUGUAAACUGCUUUUGUACGAGAAGAAACAACAUUACGUGUAAUGUCUUGACGGUAUCGUAAGAAUAAGGAUCGGCUAACUCCGUGCCAGCAGCCGCGGUAAAAC
rnacentral:rRNA from 1 species